CUGGGCCUCUUUAGCUUCCUAUUGGGGACCAUGGUGGUGGAGGAAGAAGGAGCCUAUGAAUGGAGAGAAGUGUAACCCAGAUUAAAAGGAAUCAAACUGUGAGGAGUUUACUGUUUAGCAUUUGGAGAGACCUCAAACACAGUAUGGCAGCGUGGAGAAGUGCCCGGAGAGCUGCUUUUGCCAUCACUUAGACAUGGGUUCUAAUGUCACCUCAAAUACUUGUUAGCUGUAUGAUGGAAGGAAGCUUGUACCAACUCUAGAGAGCAGAUUGUGAAAUGUUCCAUGUGAGAAUAUAUACCUUGGAAAUCAGCAAAUGAUCCACAUUAGACUUGGUUUACAGUUUUGCUUAUUGUUUACACUUGAGAAAGUGAUAGAGAAAAUGUUUAUAAGAUGGCCUGAUUUUCAGAGAGCUAGUUGUUAAAUAGGGA
rnacentral:lncRNA from 1 species